UAGUGAUUAACGCGAAGAACCUUACCCAGGCCUGAACUGCAGAUGACAUCCUACGAAAGUAGGCUUCCGCAAGGACGUCUGUAGAGGUGCUGCAUGGCUGUCGUCAGCUCGUGUCGUGAGAUGUUGGGUUAAGUCCCGCAACGAGCGCAACCCUUGUCUUCUGUUGCCAUCGGGUUAUGCCGGGCACUCUGAAGAGACUGCCGGUGACAAACCGGAGGAAGGUGGGGAUGACGUCAAGUCAGCAUGGCCUUUAUGUCUGGGGCCACACACGUGCUACAAUGGCAGGUACAAACCGUCGCGAGACCGCAAGGUGGAACUAAUCGGAGAAAGCCUGUCUCAGUUCGGAUUGUAGGCUGCAACUCGCCUGCAUGAAGUUGGAAUCGCUAGUAAUCGCGGAUCAGCACGCCGCGGUGAAUACGUUCCCGGGCCUUGUCACACCGAAUCGAAUUC
rnacentral:rRNA from 1 species